GGUAAGGUGGCUCAGUGGUAGAGUGCUUGCCUUGCAUGCAUGAGAACCCUGGGUUCGAUUCCUCAGCACCA
rfam:Dipodomys ordii contig_31187, whole genome shotgun sequence.